AGAGUGCUGCCAGGGAGUCAACUGUAACACACAGACCCCAACCCUGUCAAAAGCUGCUUUUACUGUGUUCGCACCAACAGCCGAGUGUAAUGCUUGCGUAGAGGGUGAUGUAGCCAGCUGUAAUAGGAAUCAAGCAACUCAGUAUUGUGGUACAAGUGAACAUUCUCUCGGCAAGACUCACUGUGCUUCUGCGGUUGGUAAAUAUAGGGACCAGUCUGGUAAUGUUCUUGAUGCUUUUUACCGAGGAUGCAUUGAUUGUACAGACAAAAAGGCGGCUUGUGCGGCUAUUGGUGGCGCUCUUAAAGCACGUAAAGGAUGGUCCCUAGAAAAAAUGUGAAAUCGAGUGCUGCACUGGAAACAAGUGUAACACCCAGACCCCAGUCCUGUUGGAAGAUUCCGCCAUACCUGUGUUUUUACCCCCAGCUUCUGGGCCUAGUUUGCAGUGUCACUAUUGCCGUGCUAGCCUUGGAGGAACAUGCGACACUCGGCUUCAAACCCAAGUUUGUAAAGACGACGGAGAUUCGCUUGGCACAAGGCACUGUUUUUCUGCGGUGACACGAUAUCGGAGUCAGGAUCAAGGAUAUACCCGAGAAGGAGCUAUUCGUGGAUGCAUUGACUGCACAGAUGAGAAGACAGCUUGUGCUGCCAUCGGUUAAAGAAGAUCAAAAGUGGAACGUUGUAGGAUGUGAAGUUGUGUGUUGUACCGGCAGCAAGUGUAAUACUCAAAAGCCAACCCUGCCAUACCCCGGAAGUGGAGGGUCGCGAACUUCAACUGUUAAAGGAAAAUUUCCAACGACCCCAACUGCUAGCUACAAUGAUGCAUCGGGCCAAGAGGGAAAUCACAUCUUGUUCAGUGCUGUAGUACUUACUACCUUUGCACUCGCCAUGGGCAACAUCUUGUACCACUUCGAGUGACAGCAGAAAGAUAUGCAACCCGUAGUUAGGCGUAGUUUUGUUGUAGCGUUUCGUAUUAGUGCUCAGUUCAUAUAUAGAAUAUCCAACACGAGUGUCAGGAAACGAUGCGUAGUCGACGACUGAAAUGCGACGUGUUCAAUUUCAAAACUGUGACGAAAUACUAUCUGAAAGGGAUAUAUCCUCUCAAUCAAAAGUAAAACUAUGGAAAAAAGGAACCAAUUAAUAGAAUCGUUAGGAAAUCUGUGCUAAUCAGAAAUCCCUAACCAUUAUCACUGAUGUGACUUCCUUUCUUGAAAGCUUUUUCAAACUCAUUAAUAAUUCAUCAAGUUUAAACAAAGGAAAUCAUGACCGUGACGAUG